GUAGGGGGGCGAACGUUGCUCGGAAUUACUGGGCGUAAAGGGUGUGUAGGGUGGCUGAGCAAGUCGUUGAUGAAAUCCCGAGGCUCACCCUCGGAACUGUCUUCGAAACUGCUCAGCUUGAGGAUAGUUGAGGAGAACGGAAUUCCCGGUGGAGCGGUGAAAUGCGUAGAUAUCGGGAGGAACACCAGAGGCGAAGGCGGUUCUCUGGGCUAUUCCUGACACUGAAACACGAAAGCUAGGGGAGCAAACGGGAUUAGAUACCCCGGUAGUCCUAGCCGUAAACGAUGGGCACUAGAUGUUUCUACUUUGAUGUAGGAGUGUCGAAGCUAACGCGUUAAGUGCCCCGCCUGGGGAGUACGGUCGCAAGGCUG
rnacentral:rRNA from 1 species